rnacentral:rRNA from 1 species
UACGGGGGGGGGCAAGCGUUGUUCGGAUUCAUUGGGCGUAAAGGGUGCGUAGGCGGCGCGGUAAGUCGGGUGUGAAAUCUCGGGAGCUUAACUCCGAAACUGCAUUCGAUACUGCCGUGCUUGAGGACUGGAGAGGAGACUGGAAUUUACGGUGUAGCGGUGAAAUGCGUAGAUAUCGUAAGGAAGACCAGUGGCGAAGGCGGGUCUCUGGACAGUUCCUGACGCUGAGGCACGAAGGCCAGGGGAGCAAACGGGG